UGCAGGACUCCCAGCAGUGGUUGGGGAGGCUAAUUCCUGAUAAACAGAGUCUCAACGACCAGCUGAAACAGGUUCAACAGAACAGUCUGCAUCGUGAUAGUCUGUCGUCCCUGCAAAAGGCCGUGGAGCAGAAGGAGACCAGCAGACAGCAGCUCAGAGACCAGCUGGAUGCUGUGGAGAGGGAGACCAGGGCCAAACUGCUGGAAAUAGACGCCUUCAACACCCAGCUGAAGUCUCUGUGUGAGUUCUAUGCCAACCACUGUGCCAGGAUAGAGGCCCUGCGACGCCAGCUUCACCGGGAACAGAGAGGGAGACAGGUAGAGCACACUGCCACUGCUGGACUGGGGUGGUACUGCAGCCG